rnacentral:tRNA from 4 species
GCUCCUAUAGUUAAGUGGUAUAACUCCUGUUUUGUAAUCAGGGUUCCUCAGUUCGAUUCUGGGUGGGAGCACCA